rfam:Medicago truncatula strain A17 chromosome 7, whole genome shotgun sequence.
UUAUAAGUAAAAUUUUGCAUUUUAGAUUCAUUCAAUUAAUGAUGUAUCUGGUCUUUAUUAUAGACUACAUACAUCAUUUAAUGAAUGAAUCUAAAAUGCAAAAUUUUGCUUAUAA